rnacentral:rRNA from 1 species
CGGCCCAUCAGGUAGACGGCGGGGUGACGGCCCACCGUGCCGACAACGGGUAGCCGGGUUGAGAGACCGACCGGCCAGAUUGGGACUGAGACACGGCCCAGACUCCUACGGGAGGCAGCAGUGGGGAAUCUUGCGCAAUGGGGGGAACCCUGACGCAGCGACGCCGCGUGCGGGACGGAGGCCUUCGGGUCGUAAACCGCUUUCAGCAGGGAAGAGUCAAGACUGUACCUGCAGAAGAAGCCCCGGCUAACUACGUGCCAGCAGCCGCGGUAAUACGUAGGGGGCGAGCGUUAUCCGGAUUCAUUGGGCGUAAAGCGCGCGUAGGCGGCCCGGCAGGCCGGGGGUCGAAGCGGGGGGCUCAACCCCCCGAAGCCCCCGGAACCUCCGCGGCUUGGGUCCGGUAGGGGAGGGUGGAACACCCGGUGUAGCGGUGGAAUGCGCAGAUAUCGGGUGGAACACCGGUGGCGAAGGCGGCCCUCUGGGCCGAGACCGACGCUGAGGCGCGAAAGCUGGGGGAGCGAACAGGAUUAGAUACCCUGGUAGUCCCAGCCGUAAACG